rnacentral:rRNA from 1 species
AUGACGGAUUUCAUACAAACACGACGAAUUUUCAUUACAUUUCAAACAUCUAGAACAAAAAAAAAAGACCCGAACAUAAACCUAUCCCGCGGCGGCGGCGCCCCGCAUCCAAGCCCGUGUCGUCCUACAUCCGCCGUCUCCAUAAGCACCGGCGAUGAGACUGAUGAAGUGAAGGUGCGGUCUCUCGCAAGGAAGAGUAGAACACAGGAGACAGACUGGCUCACAUGGGACACAAACACAAGGCACCGCCGCCUCCCGUGGCCUACUCAUCAUCGGAGGAUCAAGGCCAUGCCCAUAUCUAGCACCGGUGACGAAGGUGCGGUGCAGCGACCUUCCUCUCGUGUAAACUUCGCUUCAUUGGGUUUUUAUUUUUGUUUUUUGGCUAGUUUAUCAGGCUUGCCGUCUGGUAACUUCGCUUCAUUGCGUUGA